UACUUAUUGUCAAAAAUAGACUUUAUCGUUGCCAAGUACAAGUUCUUUUAUUUGUUUACAAAGUCGGAAUAAAGAUAAUAAGGUAAAAAGCAUUCCAGCGGUGUUGAGUAAAUCAACUUGAUCAACUCGUGAUGCAUACGUGUACGGCCAUUCGCUUAACGGAUUACCACACUGAGAAUGAAACACGAUUUUGCAUUUAUCUUGGUCGUUUCGGUGUUAACAUCAGAUAGCGCUGCCUUGACGAAUUCAACACUUAAAGUCGAGUGUGAUAAAUUGUUUGCAAUCACCUGUCCGCCAGAGCUUAACGGUACUUUCACCCUACGGCGGAAUGAGAUUCUGAUAACAAUCUGUAAAGCAAGUUCCGCAACGUGCAAUCCGUACACGCAGAAUUACAAUAACAGUUAUAACGGCAGUACAGGAGUAUUGGAGUUCUUCACGAUAGCUAACAAAUCGGAUGAACAUUUGACAUAUAGCUGUACGACAUCCUCUGGGGAAAGGUCAUCACUGGACAAUAGAAUUUAUUGAUGAAUCCUGUAACACUCCAGACGACAACAAAGGCAACAAUUUGCUGGGUGUACCGAUUGGCCUUACUCUCCUGGUUUAUUUUCUGGUCUCGUAUCCAUUCAUGAUUUUGAAAAAAAAAAAU